CAGCCCCAGAGGAGAGAAACGUUCCCACAGCGACUUGUGUUGGGUUAGGUCGUCUUCCCAUUGUAAUGAAUCACCGUAUAGUUGUGCAUAGUUGUUUGCCUAUGUGAUUACAACAGCUGUUUAAAGUGAAUUAUUACAACCUAGCGGCUAGAGAAAGUACAGAAACUUUGAUAAUCCAACAACCUGUUCAAUACGGUCGUAAGUAUUCACAGGUCUUCACACAGAAUCUUUCACUAAUACGCCCACUGCAAGUCUGGAUGUCUAGUGAAAUAUCCAUGUUCCCGCCACAAAACCUAGAUCAAGAUAUUUCGUCAGUUUUUCAUUUUUCUUGGUGCUGGGAGAACUGUGAAUUUUUCAUGUGCCAAAAGAAAAGAAAAUUCUGAUUGUGGAUAGCGUUCCAGUUGAGUCACUUAUUACCAUACGACCGUGUCGACUCAACAACCUAGUCAACGAAAAAUGCCAAGAUAAUCAACCCAUUUCAUGUGCAACAAGUUCUGGCUUGUCAGAAACGUGCAGCAACCCCAUUUUUAUGUUGUUCAAGGUCGCAAAACUCUCAACGACUUUCAACAGGAACCUUGAUUGUGAGUAGGACUUUUAUCUUUCAGUUUUAUAGCCAAUAUGUUUAGUUCUCACAGGGCAAUUUUAAUAGUCAGAAACGUAUGCAAUCUGUACAUUUUUCCUUUCUCACGUACUCGCUAACAUUCCGAUUCAUUUGUUUAUUUUGUGCUGAGUCAUUUUUUCUCACCACAUUUAUAAAGGUGAGAUAAGUUUACGAUUCAGCUGAGGAAACGGUGGGGUAGGUUGUUUCGUAAUCAAUGUGUGGUCUCGUUUAGCAUUUCUUUCAAUCCUUUUUACUUUCCACAGUUUUUGGAUCAACAAUCACAGGCAACAAUUCCAAGAAUUGUCUUUUUCGUUGUUCUUUAGAAGAGAAAGAAUUCCGAGAAUUUAAGCUACUUAUUUACAUUCUCCAAAUCUUGUUGUUGGGGCUGGUUAUUUGGUUUGCAUAUUUUCAUUUUCAACUCAAGACGUAAAAGAAUGUUUGUUUUCAGGAAAUGGACAGUGUUGGCCAUCUAGCGGCCAUCCGUACUACUUGGUCGUCCCCCCCCCUUACGAUUCCGGAAUUAUUCCAGACUAGGAAUGGAAUAUUGGAAUGGUGUUCUCUUUCCCAUCCGUGAAUGGAUUCCAUUUGGAUUAUAUUGAGCAUCUCGUCAUAUCUGCGAUGUUGUGUGUUGUAUGGAUACAAAUUCAUCGUCGGUGCUGAUGAGUGAUGACUAACCGCAACCGCACCUGUCAUAAACAACAAUAAAUCUCCAGACCUGGCGUGGAAAUGCCAUAGAACAAGUUCCAAGUUGAGACUUGUGUUUCCAAAGGACCGGUCGAGCCACUGUCAACAUUUUCCAGUUGAUGUCGACCGUAGCGAGAUCGAGGAUGCGUACGGCUUGCAUGGCCACAGGUAUCGGGUCCGGAUAGGAAUUUCCACAGCUGACGCUGAUUGGGUGGAUCCCGGCAACGAUACGGCCCGUCUUCUGUGGUGAUUUGUCCCUCGCCCCUCCGCCACGAGGAUAUUGGCGGUGAGGGGACGAUUUGUUUUUCUGUUGUGCUUCUUUGCGACAUGUGAAGGAAUAAUCCUCGCCAAUGGUAACUUCUUCUGGCCGAACCUUUUUCACGAUUGGCUUGAUGCGGAAUUCGGGAAUGUGAGCCAAGAGUUUUUCAAACUCUUGUUUUGUGCGAGGCCGUGCUGUGGACAAGUCAAGAGCCUGCAUGGCCUCCGCGCGAGGCGCCAGCAGAUCUUCCAACCGAAAAAGAGACAUGAUUGCGCAGAUCUACUCAUGUCUCGAUGAAUCAACCAGCUGUAGCUGACCUGAUGCUGGACGAUGCUUCGCCUCAGCAGCCGUCCCAUCCUGUUUCACCACCAAAAUGAGACGUUAGAAUCCAUAUCUAGAGACAUUUGAUUCGCUGCUCCAGGCUAGGAUUUGCACGGGAAAAAAGGCUCUCUUCUCUCGGCGUUUCACGUCAGUUCCCGAUCAGUUCAUAUUCCACUUCUGCAUCGACACAGGAGGGGAGGGACCGCUCUCGGAUAAAGGGGAAAAAACAUGAAGAAAUCAUUCUCCAUCAUCACAGCCCUUUUUUUUUCCCUCAGCGUCGUUUUCAACACCUUGUGCGCUGUUCAGGAGCUAUCACAAAUACUAACGGGGUCUUUAGUGAAGUAAACGGCUUGUUUCGAGUGCACGUCCCAUUGAACGUUUUGGCUGAGCGUGACAGGAGCAGUUGGCCCACCGCUGAUUGUAGUGUUCUCGUCCAGUUGCCAAUCGAUCCACAAGGCUACUCCAUUAAGAGUUCCAGCGACUGAUCAAUUUCUUGAGUGGAGCGGACGGGUGCUCGGAUUUUCCAUAAAUCUUUCAUCUCGACAGCCAUGGCGUAUAGAUACGC
rnacentral:lncRNA from 1 species